rnacentral:rRNA from 1 species
GUAGGUGGCAAGCGUUGUCCGGAAUUACUGGGUGUAAAGGGAGCGUAGGCGGGAAAGCAAGUUAAAUGUUUAAACUAUCGGCUCAACCGAUAAUCGCGUUCAAAACUGUUUUUCUUGAGUGAAGUAGAGGUAGGCGGAAUUCCUAGUGUAGCGGUGAAAUGCGUAGAUAUUAGGAGGAACACCAGUGGCGAAGGCGGCCUACUGGGCUUUAACUGACGCUGAGGCUCGAAAGCGUGGGUAGCAAACAGGAUUAGAUACCCUGGUAGUCCACGCCGUAAACGAUGAUUACUAGGUGUGGGGGGAUCAACCCUUCCGUGCCGCAGCAAACGCAAUAAGUAAUCCACCUGGGGAGUACGACCGCAAGGUG